rnacentral:rRNA from 1 species
AUGGUUAAGCAAGUAAGAGCGCACGGUGGAUGCCUAGGCACCAGGAGCCGAUGAAGGACGCGACGAACCGCGAUAGUGCUUCGGGGAGCUGUAAGUAAGCGUUGAUCCGGAGAUUUCCGAAUGGGGCAACCCAGCUGGACUCAUACCCAGUUACCGAUCGAGUGAAUACAUAGCUCGACGGAGGCAGACCGGGGGAACUGAAACAUCUAAGUACCCCGAGGAAGAGAAAACAAUAGUGAUUCCGUCAGUAGCGGCGAGCGAACGCGGAUUAGCCCAAACCAAGAAGCUUGCUUCUUGGGGUUGUAGGACGUCUCACAUGGAGUUACAAAGGUGUUUGGUAGGCGAAGAGGUUUGGAACGACCCGCCAGAGCAGGUGAUAGCCCUGUAGCCGAAAGUUUGCUCC